rnacentral:lncRNA from 1 species
GUGAGAAGUCUUUUGGUUGCUGCAGCAGUAAGUGCGAAUGAAUGAAAAGAUAAUGACUUACCUCUUCUUAUAUUACACGUGGAGACUAAGGAGCUAUCCUCAAUAUUAUUUAAAACUAUAUAAUAGUAUGUGUUUAUCAUUUGGCAUUUACAAGAGCUCAAAAAGGAAGCAAGUUUUCCCUGUAUUUUAGUAUUUGUGGAAAGAAAGAAAGAGAGAAGGGAAAAGAGGAUCUUCUGAAAAAAAGGACUCAAGAAGGCAAAAUUCGGAGCUUCGUGUUUGGAUCCAUAUUCCAGGCCAGCCUCAAAAUCAGAAAGAUGGAGUUAUGUGCUCCAAUCCGGUGUCACUGGAACUUGUACCUUCAUCUCACUGAGCUUUACUAUUAUCAUUUGGUAUAUACCCUAUGCAUGGAUGGGGAACAUGAGAAAGAGCAGUUUAUGACCAGAGAUACUACUGAAAUCUGGGAUAAUUCCUUUCAGCCAUCUGCAACGGAGAACAGAAAUGAACGCUGAUGUGGUUGCAAGUUUGGAGAUAAGAAGGCAAAGUAGUCUGAAAAAGGGUUGUUUGG